rnacentral:misc_RNA from 1 species
AAGACUAUAGACCUGCGGAGUACCUGCGGAAGGAUCAUUAAAGAGAAAACUGCCCUUUGGGUAGAUCUCCCACCCUUUGUUUACCUUACCUUUGUUGCUUUGGCAGGCCCGUCUUCUGACCACCGGCUUUAGCUGGUCCGUGCCUGCCAGAGGACCCCAAACUCUUAAUUUUAAGUUGUCCGAGUCUUAUAAAAUAGUAAAAACUUUCAACAACGGAUCUCUAGAUCGGAAGAGCACACG